rnacentral:pre_miRNA from 1 species
AAUGGCAUUUUUGUCAUCCUGACGUUAGGACCGGGCCGCCGGAGCGGGGAACUUAAAUUAGCCUGGCGAAGACCUCCGCUCCGGCGGCCCGGUCCUUCGUCGGGAUGACAAAACGCUGAAU